GAUAUUUUUUUUUUGGAUGUAGAAACUUUGGACUUUAAGUUCCUUUUGAAGCCCAAGUAUAGUAAUGUGCCUUGUACAGUUGAGGAAGGUCCCUCUUCACUCAUCUCUUUCUAGGAUUCUCAAUCCCAACAACAGUUAUACAGUUACAGGUAAACAAUCCAAUUCCUCAUUCAAAAUGUUUCUCGGCGAGCUCUUCGAGAGCUGAUUUAACAGCAUCUUGACCACCAAGAAGCAACCGGGUCAUGAUUUUGGGUUGGUCUCGAAUGGCUCUACCAAACCAACAGACUGUGGAGUACCCAAGCUUCAAGCUUGUCAUCAUCGGUGAUGGAGGAACUGGAAAAACAACUUUUGUGAAGAGACACUUGACCGGAGAGUUCGAGAAGAAAUAUGAACAUAAGGGUCUCGAAUGAUGCUUUGGUUUUAGUUAGGGUCCCCAUUCAGUUUACAUAGAAAUUUGUGCUGUUUUGAUGUGUUUGGAAGUUAUUAAUUUUUUAAAAUGGGUUUUAUUUGCAAAUAGCAACUAUAAUUGCAAAGUUUGAAAUGUUUUAUUUUUUAAAAUGGGUUUUAAAAUGUUUUGCUGUUUAUCAUGUUAUUCUAGCAGUAGA